AAGUAGGGAAGAACAGCUAAGUUCGCGCCGUCCUGGCGGCAGACUCAAACCGCGACACAUCGUGUCGCUUCGUCUGCACAAGUACAUCCUGUACAUCGCAACGCUGUUCUGACCCGCAUCCUGCGGG
rnacentral:sRNA from 1 species